GAGGACAGAUCUACAACCAAAGACUUCCAGUAUAACCAUGUAACUUUAUAACAUAAAUCUAUAUGAGGGUCGGAUGGGAGCAACUCCAAAGGUUUGAAAACGGUCAGAAAAAUUGUGACGUUUAAUAGAAUUAAGAUGCUGAUUAGAAUGUUGCAGGAAAAGAAUCGCAAGACGGAUUCUUCAAGUUGAAUGAACCGGAAGGAGACCAAGGGGUUGACCAAGAACAAGAUGGUUGGCUAAUAUCCAUACUCUUGGUUGGUCACAGUUGACUAUCCAGCUGGGAAGUCCAUUGAUGGUUACUUCUGAUAGGACGCUCUGGAGAAGGUGACUGAAGACUGUAUCCCUACUGCCCUUCUAGGAAUAGAUAAAGAUGUAUCAGAUGUGGCUGCGUGGUAAGAAAUUGCUUCCCAACCACAUGGUUCCGGGUUCAGUCCCACUACGGGAAACCUAAGUUUUCUUAGAAAUUGUUUAGGAGCGUUUAUCCUCAGGAUGCCAUAUUGAAUGUAUGGUGUGUUUCAGUUUCGUUUAUGGACAGUGAAUACAUAACAACAAAUAGCAAUUUGCUCUCAUGCCUGUCACUACAUAUUCUCUUCUCUACAAGAACGGAACAAAUGUUUUCUAGACUGAUCAUCACAAGAAAUCCAUUUUAUCUGCCAAGAAAUUUUCACAGUUUUCACAAAUUGUUGAAUAACACUUAAUCUAGUUGCUGCACAUGAAUUUUGGAGCAAGACAGAAAUCGAAGCUUGCCGGUAAACACAGCCUUUUGAAUAUAGAGAAGACAACGUAAUUGUAAAGAGGAAAUAAAUUGUUUCUCUCAUAUAUAUCUCCAGUAAUUUGAAGCGAUAAAUAUUUGAAAUAAAAGAUGUAUAACGUUAGUAUAUAUUCCCGUA